GAUGAACGCUGGUGGCGUGCCUAACACAUGCAAGUCGAGCGAUUCUCUUCGGAGAAGAGCGGCGGACGGGUGAGUAACGCGUGGGUAACCUGCCCUGUACACACGGAUAACAUACCGAAAGGUAUGCUAAUACGAGAUAACAUGCUUUUAUCGCAUGGUAGAAGUAUCAAAGCUUUUGCGGUACAGGAUGGACCCGCGUCUGAUUAGCUAGUUGGUGAGGUAACGGCUCACCAAGGCGACGAUCAGUAGCCGACCUGAGAGGGUGAUCGGCCACAUUGGAACUGAGACACGGUCCAAACUCCUACGAGAGGCAGCAGUGGGGAAUAUUGCACAAUGGGCGAAAGCCUGAUGCAGCAACGCCGCGUGAGCGAUGAAGGCCUUCGGGUCGUAAAGCUCUGUCCUCAAGGAAGAUAAUGACGGUACUUGAGGAGGAAGCCCCGGCUAACUACGUG
rnacentral:rRNA from 1 species